rnacentral:rRNA from 1 species
UACAGAGGCCUCGAGCGUUAAUCGGAAUCACUGGGCUUAAAGGGUGCGUAGGCGGACUGGCAAGUGCCUUGUGAAAUCCCAUGGCUCAACCAUGGAACUGCUCGGUAGACUGCCAGUCUUGAGGUCGGUAGGGGUCGCUGGAACUCUAGGUGGAGCGGUGAAAUGCGUAGAUAUCUAGAGGAACGCCAAAGGUGAAGACAGGCGACUGGGCCGAUUCUGACGCUGAGGCACGAAAGCGUGGGGAG